rnacentral:rRNA from 1 species
UACAGAGGUCUCAAGCGUUGUUCGGAUUCAUUGGGCGUAAAGGGUGCGUAGGCGGCGCGGUAAGUCGGGUGUGAAAUCUUGGAGCUUAGCUCCGAAACUGCAUUCGAUACUGCCGUGCUUGAGGACUGGAGAGGAGACUGGAAUUUACGGUGUAGCGGUGAAAUGCGUAGAUAUCAGGAGGAACACCGGUGGCGAAGGCGGUUCUCUGGGCAUUACCUGACGCUGAGGAGCGAAAGUGUGGGGAGCGAACAGG